rnacentral:lncRNA from 9 species
CCUCAAACGCCUUUCCCGCUCCUUGCUCCUUUUGCUGCCUGGUAGAUGUCAUGAUUUAUCUAUUCCUCCGUUCACGUGGUCAGCCAAAAAGUACGGAAUAUUUCUGGGUGCUACACCUGUGCUAAGCACAGGAGGGACAGCAAGCGACAUGGACAAGCCCCGACUCCAAUAGAAUUUCGGAAAAGCCAGACACGAAGCAACUCAUGGCAAUAAAGGCAGAGAAUGAGAUCACAGUGGAGAGUGUUGUUGAAAACUGUUGAAAGAGGACCCAGUAAAGUAAGCUUUCAUCCAACUCCUUCCACCUGUUGUCAUCUUGCUUUGAGCCUCUCCAUUGCUCAGUGGGUGUUGACUGAACCAACCAUGGAUAGUGAAUUAUCAUAGAAUUCACUAUUGAAAAAAAUCCCUAUAUAAGUGGACCUGCUGCGUUCAGACCCAUGUUGUCCAAGGUUGAAUGGUUCUUGAUCAACUCAUUUUCCUGCCUGCUGAUGUACUGCCUUUGGUGCAUUUUCUUCACUGACACAGGAGUGAAUUUUGGUCAAAUUGGGUGAGUGCUCUUAACGCUCACAUUGUUCAACGUCAACUGCACUGCGCAUGUAGGAAAGAAGCUGAGGUCCCAAACACUUACUUGCCUUCGUGUAUCCUACCUGAUUAAAAACUGCUGCCUUCUGGAGCUCCCGUCGUGGCGCAGUGGUUAACGAAUCCGACUAGGAACCAUGAGGUUGUGGGUUCGAUCCCUGGCCUUGCUCAGUGGGUUAAGGAUCCGGCAUUGCCGUGAGCUGGGGUGUAGGCUGCAGACUCGGCUCGGAUCCUACGUUGCUGUGGCUCUGGCGUAGGCCGGUGGCAACGGCUCCAAUUAGACCCCCUAGCCUGGGAACCUCCAUAUGCCACAGGAGCAGCCCUAGAAAAGGCAAAGAGACCAAAAAAAAUAAAUAAAUAAAUAGAUAAAAUAAAAUAAAAAAAUGAAAACUGCUGCCUUCCAGUGCCUUGUGUGCACUAAGAUUUCUCAGCCUGUGUAUAAUCAUCUUAAUCUCUAAUUUCCAAUUUGCUUGAGACAUUUUCCAAAAGACUUCAAAUGUACAUAAACCUUUUUUAAAGUUAAUUUUGGUGUUCUCAGCAUUUUCUUUAUGCUUAAAGAUCUCAGAACAAAUGGCAACACUGAAAAAUGACAACUUACGCUUUCUCCUCCGAAGUCUUUUCCAUAAAGUUAGUGCAGUCGUUUGAGUUGAUUUGGAAA